UACGUAGGUGGCAAGCGUUGUCCGGAAUUAUUGGGCGUAAAGCGCGCGCAGGCGGUUCUUUAAGUCUGAUGUGAAAGCCCACGGCUCAACCGUGGAGGGUCAUUGGAAACUGGAGAACUUGAGUACAGAAGAGGAAAGCGGAAUUCCACGUGUAGCGGUGAAAUGCGUAGAGAUGUGGAGGAACACCGGUGGCGAAGGCGGCAUCCUGGACCGGUAUUGACGCUGAGGCGCGAAAGCCAGGGGAGCAAACGGG
rnacentral:rRNA from 1 species